CGGAGCCAAUGAAUUUUCUGUCGCGAGCCCAGCCAGCCGGCCCGCUAACGGGCUUGCCGCUUAGAGCUCUGGGAAAUGUAGUUAGGCACGAGCAAGCUGCCGUUACUUGGGAGUCUGCGGCGGGAACCGUGGCUCCGCAGGUGUUCGUGGCUCGGAUCAGCCUUCCUCGAGCUCCUGAGGUUCUACCAUUCCUCAUGGCCUCCAGUUCAGGAAGCUUCUGGAACACAGCUGCACCUCUACAAUAGAAACGAGAUCUGCAUCAUCAGCUUCAGAUGUGUUCUUAGAACCCUGCUGUCUGAAAGUUAAUCCUGUGAGGGGACCUCAAGCAGACCCUCUGGGGAAGUCUUGCAGCGCCCCUGUGGAAGAGCAUCCCCUGCAUGGUCUUCUACCUUCUGUUGGCCUCGGGAUCUCAUGGAAGGGAAACUAACUCCAAGCAGAAAAGAAGAGGGAAGAGCUCUGAAGGAGGCAAGAGCGACCCAGCUUCCAGACCAGACAAUAUCUGAAGGAGAGCCAUGUUUUGUCGUUUGCAUUCUCCACGGAGCCUUCGAGUGCGACACACUGAGAGAAGGGCCGGCCUUGGUAACCGCGUGUCACUACGGACUCUGGUGUCGGGAGAUGGCUCUAGCCAUUUGCCUCUGAAAGUUCUCCUUUUCCAGAUGGUUUUCACACAGGGCGGUAGGGGAUUUCUUAUUGCUACACUUUCCACUCUAGCCCUGAGCCUCGCCACCAGGCAGCCCAGCCAGAUUAGCUCAGAAAUCCAUAAAGGGGCAGGAGCCCCUGUUCCCUCACCUCUGCUCAAAGAUGUCACUGGUUAGAGUUGUGCUGGGACAUAGGAGUGACCUUGGGAAGGGGCACUUGGUGACUAAGCAAGAAUGGGCACUGCUGUGUCAACUCACCACACCCAGCUUGCAGGAGAGGCUGGCUCACGAACCACCCUCAGGGUGACCUCAGGUCUGCAGGCUCAGUUCCUGUAGCAGGAGAAACAGUAACCUGUCGGGGAAACAGUAACUUCCAAACUUAGUAGGCAGACAGUUUAUGAAGGUAACACAGAGACAUGAAGGAGGGACACUGAGUUGUCCCUGAGGGGGCCCCAGGCGAAGGUCACAUCCCUUCCUUUCCAAAUACAGCUGAGUUCUGGGUCCCACCAAGGAUAGAACCACCCCCUUCCUCAUCAGCUGUGAACAUUCCUUAAUGUCUCUAAAUCCCGAGUUCACCUAUGGCCACAGCCCCCUUUCAACCUUCUUUUAAAACAAGUAUGUUAAGGGAUGGAGACGUAGCUCAAUUGGUAAGGUGCUUACCUAGCAUGCGCAGAGGACCCCUGGCUCCCGUCUGCACAAACCAGACGUGGUGGUGCAUUCUUGUAAUCCCAGUACUUGGGAACAUGUUGGCAGGCCACAUUCGGAUCCGUUGUCUCCAGUGUUCUGUACCUUGGCCCUGGAAAAGUGUUGCUAGGAUGUGAUCUGUGCUGAGUCUCUAGAACAGCGCCUCCAGUUGGACCGAUAAUGACUGUCCCAAGCCACAUUCAACAAGAAAUAGCGCAAACAGGUAGAGGAGACAGAAGUGGAGAGGGGGUGGGCUCUUGAAGGAACCAAGGCCUGGGAUGAACGGUAAUCCUACAUCCAUUCUGCAGGGGGCACUAGGCUCCUGGGCACCUGGCACUCAGGGCAUUAGGCUAGAAAGCUGUAAACACUCCCCCUUGCUGUCCGCACACCUGUAAUCCCAGCAUUUAGGAGAUAGAGGUGAGGCAGGGCACUCAAGAGUUCAAAGUCAUCCUCGGCUACAAAGUGAGUUUGAGGAUAGCCUGGGCAUCAUAGUUGAGAUCCUUUCUCAAAACAAACAAACCAUCUAGACCCUAGGCUGCCUUUCUCCUUGCCCGACUUCCCUUUCUGAGGUUACAGCAGGGUUCCAGGCUGUCCCUUUGAGCCAGCUGUGUCUUCAUUGAGGUCCCUGACUGUCAUUCUGUCACCCCCCCACCCCCAUCUGUGUGACUCUCUUACAAGUACCUAACCCGGAAGUGCUCACGGUGACCUGUGGGUCCCUGGCGGUGUCUCAUUGAAUCUUCUCAACAAGCUUUGGAAUAAGUCUUCUGUGGCUUCCUGUUACAGCUGAGGGAAGUAGAUGUAGAGAGCUUGGCUCAGCUCACUCAGAUCCAUGCAACUCGAGUCGAGGAGCCAGGCCUCAAAUCUAGACCUUCCCCGCAACUGUGACCUCAAAAGUCCUAGUGUUGGGUUGCAGGAGUUUCACUUCCGUCUGCUGGGGUAAGCAGCCCGCUUUCUGGACUCUGUGGCCUUUUGAAGAUGGUACUGCUUCCACAAUCUCAUCUUCGGUCUGCCCAAACCUAUCUAAUGCUCUCCAGGAACAUAUGUGCCCAUGAGAGACAUGAGCUUCCUGCCAGCAGACACUAGCAUAUCUGCUGUGGGAAUUGAGGGGAUUCUUGAGUUAGGGCAGAUGCAGGAGCCUCUGGUUAUGCCAUCGACUCUGGCACUGCUAUGGCUGAUUUCUGCUCCACCACGUCUGGGACCCCCACUAGAUUGGCUGGAAAUAGUGGACAUGGUCCAAGUCGGGCUCUGUCUGGAGCCUCCGUUCUGUGUGCGAGCUGGGUUCCUCUUGUCCCUGUGAUGUUAUCCGGGGCUCAGAUGUCUGCAGUGGCACACAGGCCCCUUCUCUUGUGUGUCCACUCUCUUCAGAAAUGCAGCCUCAGCUUCUGCCAUCUGGGCAAUCCCAGCCCACACUAUCUAUAUUCUUUUCCAUUGCACUCUGCUUUCCCUAUUCUACUUCUAACCAGUGCUACCUAGAUGGCAGUGGACCGUCCGUGUACUACAAGAUUCUACCUCCGUAUGCGCUUACUAGUCUGUGGACCUGAAUCUAAUAUAGGCUGGCCAGGAACUUUUGAAGUCAUUUGAUUCAAAAAUGGAAGGAAAUGCAGUCAGGCUAGUUAGAUUCUCCUCCUGCCCCUGUCCCACUUUGAAGUCUGAACCUAAAUCAGACAGAUUGAUAGUAUGUAACAAGACGAUACUGGAGCUUUGAAUGUUCUGGGCAAAAUCACAAUGAAGGAGAAAGUUAUGAUACGGAGAAAAUCCACUUACUGUGGAAGAAGAGAAGAUAAACCUUUCUUUGGAACAGAGGAAAAGAAGAGAGUGCUUGGACUAAGCUUUCCUAUGGCCCUGGAGCUCAGGGGAGCCCAUCUUCGCAGUGAUGCAAUGUAGCACUGUCCCAAGCUUGUAUUUUUUUUUUUUUUUUUUUGCAUUUGCUAUUGAUUGACCCAGUGGUAGUCAUGUGAUUCAAUCCUGCUAAUACACUUAUGGAGAGAUGUUUGGGACCACCUUGAAUCCAUGAGCCCACAAGACCCAGGGGAGACAACCAACUGGGGAUGACAGGAUAGGGGAUAGGAGCCUAGGGUCCCUGGUGGCACCGCUGAGUCACAAUGUCUACACUGGAACCAUGGCCUUCCAGUCUGAUUGCUGUGUAAGCCUGCUGUCUCCUAGGUUCCAUCCUUCUCUUGGGGCCUGAAACAUUCCUAAGUUCUUCAUAAAGCGUCCCUGCCCUCACUGCUACCCUGUGGAUCUUUCUUUCGGCUUAAAAUGGAGAAAACAACCCAGGUUGCUUUUCUUUCUAAGUGUUGGUGCUCGAAAUCUUGCUUAGAUGAUAGGAAAUGGACAGGAGUCACAACAACAACAAAAAGGCAGGAUCCUUCACGGGCCAAAAGGACAACCCCAGUGAUUAGUCCCGACCCCCUCAGGCCCAGGGGGCCCAGACCAGGAAAGAUAAAUAAUUCUAGAAAUUUCCAUAUGCCCAGGUCUUCUCAGACAGAGCUGAGGAAUAACUUUUAGGAAAAAAAAAAAAAACAUUGGUGGGGGUUCAGUAGAGUGGAGUAUUAAUGCCCAAAGAGCGAGAAGCCAGGUUAGGCAGGAUGUCUAUCAAUUCUAAGACCGUGUCUCUACCUGGCUGCUGUGAACAAUGAAUUGGAGCAAUUUGUUGCAGCCCGAGCCAGUAGGUGCAAGGGGUGCUACUCAGGAGACAGCCUAGGCGUUGUUUGAAAAUGGUCCCCUUGGGAGGAGGCGGUGCUAACCCGUACCUGCUGCCUCCCUCUGCCCUCGGGGCGUGGCCUUCUUCCUUCCCUCCCCUCCCCUCCCCCCCCUUUUUUCUUCUACCUUUUGUUCAAGUGAAGGCAGGAGCCAGAGGCUCACACCACCAACCCGAGUUCCUUUCAUGCAGCUAAGCAUUGGGGAGGGGGGGUGGACAAGGAGACUGGCGGUGGGACUCAGCUGGCAGAGCGCUUGCAGGCACCACACACACACACACACACACACACACACACUUAGAUCCCCAGUACCCCAUAGGAGUGGUGGCGCCUGCGCAUGCGUGUAAUCCAUCCUACCCUUGGGAAGUGGAGGCUGGAGGAUAAAUCCAAGAUCAUUGGAGCAGCUGAACUCAAGGCUUUGCUCCUUCCGCUUGGAAACAGUUUUCUAAAUUAAAAAAAAAAAAAAAUUAUCCAGGCUUCUCCUGGUGCCUGAAGUGAGGCUGACAAAUGCUCAUUACCCCAUUAUAAGCAAACUAGAGAAAGCUGCCCUCCCUCUGCUGUGUCUCAGAAUAACACGGGACCCAGCCACAGAUGUGUUAAGUCACUGAGAAGCGGUGACGCAGGUUCUGACAGCAGCCCUCAGUGCAAUACCUUGUGUGCCCCACAUGGUACAUGGCUAACGCUAGGGCUAAUAGCUCCCUAGCAAAGCGAGUCUCAGCUUGUAAAGAGAAUGAGGGAGAUGUGCCUCCCGAGAGAAAAAAAAUCAUGGUGAUGAAAUAUGGGCUUGGGGGCAAAAAGAAAACGUUUAAAUGUGUACCUAGUUAAAGAAUGACAUCCCCACCCCACCAUCACCAGACUUUGUAUGUAAGGUGCGGUAGAUUGAGCUCUGGACCUCACACAUUCUGGAAAGGGCUCUUCCACUGAGCCACGCCCCCAGCCCUUCCAUAGGGGACUCUAGGCAGGGGCUCUACUGCUGAGACGCAUCCCCAGCUCUCUAGAUUGACUUGAUUUUGAGACUAGGUCUUACUGAAUUGCCUCGGUUGGCCUGAAUCUCACUCUGUAGCCCAGACUGGCCUUGGACUCACAUUCUUCCUCCUGCUUAGCCUGCUGAGCCAUUGGGAUCAUAGACUUGUCCCACUCACUGUACCAAGUACCAUUGUGCUACUGCUACAGCUAAUACCUUUAAACCAGUCUUCCCCAACCCCAGAAAACCUCCCUAUAGAGAUCUUAGCUCAGUAUUCUCUUAAAUCCAAUGAAGAGAACAGCAGCUUUUCCCUGUUCCUCCACACGAGGGCGCUACACCACUCAGCCAUGGGGUGAUGUAGUCAAGCCUCUCCCACAACCUUUAUGGGUGCAUUUCUUUUCUGUGUGUUCUCUGAUGAGAAGCACUGGGCCACCUCUGCGUGGUUUUUCUUGCCAGUUUCUCUUGUAGCUCUCUCUCUCCGAGCAAACAUUCAGCUCACCCCGGACUUGUGCAUUGCUAUGGCCGUCCCUUGUAACUAAUUCAGGGGCCAGAUGACUUAGCUGAUCCCUUCUGAAAUGAAUGAACUGAGACUGUCGGUAGGUUAGCAUUCUGACCAAAGGUUCUUGGAGGCGCUUGGGAAAGGGAUUCAUUGACAUACCUUUGCGAGCAUAGGGCUUUUCUCCAGUGUGAAUUCUCUGACGUUGAAUGAGUUUCGUGGUCUUGAAAGCCCUCAAGGGGUCACUGUUGUUGGUAGAUUUCUGUUGUAAGGGAAGUAGCCAGGGUGCAUGGGAUGCUAGCUGACUCCUCCCACGCCCUCUGGGAUGUUGCAGCAGUGUUAAAAGCAGGCGGGGAGCCUCUAGGAAACUGGCUUGUAUUCAUAAUAGUCGAUGUUCCUGCUGGUACAAGUGCUACAAUGUUAAAUAAACUUGAUCCGGACUCAGCCACA